UACGUAGGGUGCAAGCGUUAAUCGGAAUUACUGGGCGUAAAGCGUGCGCAGGCGGUGAUGUAAGACAGAUGUGAAAUCCCCGGGCUCAACCUGGGAAUUGCGAUGGAGACUGCAAGGCUAGAAUCUGGCAGAGGGGGGUAGAAUUCCACGUGUAGCAGUGAAAUGCGUAGAGAUGUGGAGGAACACCGAUGGCGAAGGCAGCCCCCUGGGUCAAGAUUGACGCUCAUGCACGAAAGCGUGGGGAGCAAACAGG
rnacentral:rRNA from 1 species